UGCGCGAGAUGAGUAUUCUAAGGCGCUUGAGAGAACUCAGGAGAAGGAACUCGGCAAAUUGACACCGUAACUUCGGAAGAAGGUGUGCCCUAGUAGUGUGAAGUGAACAACGGAGCAUGAAUGGGUUGCAAAAAAUCGGUGGCUGCGACUGUUUAUUAAAAACACAGCACUCUGCAAACACGAAAGUGGACGUAUAGGGUGUGACGCCUGCCCGGUGCUGGAAGAUUAAAUGAUGGGGUGCAAGCUCUUGAUUGAAGUCCCAGUAAACGGCGGCCGUAACGAUAACGGUCCUAAGGUAGCGAAAUUCCUUGUCGGGUAAGUUCCGACCUGCACGAAUGGCGUAACGAUGGCCACACUGUCUCCUCCUGAGACUCAGCGAAGUUGAAAUGUUUGUGAUGAUGCAAUCUCCCCGCGGAAAGACGGAAAGACCCCAUGAACCUUUACUGUAGCUUUGUAUUGGACUUUGAACAGAUCUGUGUAGGAUAGGUGGGAGGCUUUGAAGCAGGGUCGCUAGAUCUUGUGGAGCCAACGUUGAAAUACCACCCUGGUGUGUUUGAGGUUCUAACCUAGGUCCAUUAUCUGGAUCGGGGACAGUGCAUGGUAGGCAGUUUGACUGGGGCGGUCUCCUCCCAAAGCGUAACGGAGGAGUUCGAAGGUACGCUAGUUACGGUCGGACAUCGUGACGAUAGUGCAAUGGCAUAAGCGUGCUUAACUGCGAGACUGACAAGUCGAGCAGAUGCGAAAGCAGGACAUAGUGAUCCGGUGGUUCUGUAUGGAAGGGCCAUCGCUCAACGGAUAAAAGGUACUCUGGGGAUAACAGGCUGAUACCGCCCAAGAGUUCAUAUCGACGGCGGUGUUUGGCACCUCGAUGUCGGCUCAUCUCAUCCUGGGGCUGUAGCCGGUCCCAAGGGUAUGGCUGUUCGCCAUUUAAAGAGGUACGUGAGCUGGGUUUAAAACGUCGUGAGACAGUUUGGUCCCUAUCUUCCGUGGGCGCUGCAGAUUUGAGGAAGCCUGCUCCUAGUACGAGAGGACCGGAGUGGACACACCUCUGGUGUAUCGGUUGUCACGCCAGUGGCAUUGCCGAGUAGCUAAGUGUGGAAGAGAUAACCGCUGAAAGCAUCUAAGCGGGAAACUCGUUUCAAGAUGAGAUCUGCCGGGGCCUUGAGCCCCCUGAAGAGUCGUUCAAGACCAGGACGUUGAUAGGUCAGGUGUGGAAGCGCAGUAAUGCGUUAAGCUAACUGAUACUAAUUGCUCGUGCGGCUUGACCU
rnacentral:rRNA from 1 species